ACGCCGCGUGAGGGACGAAGGCCUCUGGGCUGUAAACCUCUUUUCUCAAGGAAGAAGACAUGACGGUACUUGAGGAAUAAGCCACGGCUAAUUCCGUGCCAGCAGCCGCGGUAAU
rnacentral:rRNA from 1 species